GGGGAACGAUAACGGCGUCGAGCGGCGGACGGGUGAGUAAUGCCUGGGAAAUUGCCCUGAUGUGGGGGAUAACCAUUGGAAACGAUGGCUAAUACCGCAUAAUAGCUUCGGCUCAAAGAGGGGGACCUUCGGGCCUCUCGCGUCAGGAUAUGCCCAGGUGGGAUUAGCUAGUUGGUGAGGUAAGGGCUCACCAAGGCGACGAUCCCUAGCUGGUCUGAGAGGAUGAUCAGCCACACUGGAACUGAGACACGGUCCAGACUCCUACGGGAGGCAGCAGUGGGGAAUAUUGCACAAUGGGCGCAAGCCUGAUGCAGCCAUGCCGCGUGUAUGAAGAAGGCCUUCGGGUUGUAAAGUACUUUCAGCAGUGAGGAAGGUGGUGUGCUUAAUACGCACAUCAUUUGACGUUAGCUGCAGAAGAAGCACCGGCUAACUCCGUGCCAGCAGCCGCGGUAAUACGGAGGGUGCGAGCGUUAAUCGGAAUUACUGGGCGUAAAGCGCA
rnacentral:rRNA from 1 species